GGGUGCGUAGCGCAGUGGUAGCGCGUAUGCUUUGCAACCACUCCUUAGCUGAGUGAAUAUGUAUAAGGUCCAGGGUUCAAUCCCCUGCGCAUCCA